GGCCUUCCAGCACUUACCACAGGCUGUGCUCUUACACUGCCUAUACAGAUAGAGGAAGCAAAGUAAACCCAUCCCAUAUACACCUCAGCCCAGGUUCUGUGCCUGGUCAGUAUUGUGAAUGGGAAGACAUGG
rnacentral:snoRNA from 1 species